UACGUAGGGUGCGAGCGUUGUCCGGAAUUAUUGGGCGUAAAGAGCUCGUAGGCGGCUUGUCGCGUCGGAUGUGAAAGCCCGGGGCUUAACUCCGGGUCUGCAUUCGAUACGGGCAGGCUAGAGUUCGGUAGGGGAGAUUGGAAUUCCUGGUGUAGCGGUGGAAUGCGCAGAUAUCAGGAGGAACACCAAUGGCGAAGGCAGAUCUCUGGGCCGUAACUGACGCUGAGGAGCGAAAGCGUGGGGAGCAAACAGG
rnacentral:rRNA from 1 species